GCCCUCUGAAUAUCCGUUUGAGCUCAAAUUUGACAGUCAUGUUCGGUUUUGCUUAACUUAACGAAAGAAAUUUUAAUCUUUCAGUUUCGACCCCGUUGGUCACCGAAAGUCGUACCGAACUGUAAUCUUUAUCAGAUCACUAUCCGAUUUUAUUUUCCACCUUCCGGGUGUCAGAAUAAUAUGAAACUUUAAAUCUAGCCUCAUAAGAAUAAUUCUGGCUUAUCCUCCAGUUUUCAGAAUUUUCUAACACUAUGCAUUUUCUGCUAAUUUAUCUGUCCCGUUUCACACAAAAAAUUCUAAAUCUUCUGUUUUCGCUCCGAUUUCAACACGGGUCAUUCCAGACUUAUAUUUUAUGUCUAUAAGUCCAAUAAAAUAGUAUCUCACACUAUUUUCAUUUAUAUUUAUUUUUAUAUUAAAAUUUCAGCAUAUUACACCCCACCGCAACUUCAUAAUUUAAGAAGUUCGGUACCUUACAUCCUCCCCUCCAAAAAAAAAGUUUCGUCCUCGAAACGAAUUCAAUAACUUAAUCAACUCAUACCUCAACACAUUUCUUCGAAGAGAUGAGGAUAAUGCACUUUCAUCGCUUCCUCGAGUUCCCAUGUGGCCUCACGAUCAUCGUGGUUAGUCCAACGAAUCUUCACAUAGGAAAUCUCACGAUUUCUCAACUUUCGUACUUCUCGAGCAAUAAUCAUUGCCGGAAACUCUUCAUAACUUAGAUCUUCUUGUAGAUCCGGUGGCUCAUAAUACAUCACAUGCUCGGGGUCGUGAAUAUAUUUGCGAAGGUUGGAGACGUGGAACACGUUAUGCACAUCCGCGAGCUUCGGCGGUAAUGCGAGCCGGUAAGCUACCGCUCCUACACGUUCCAACACUUCAUAUGGUCCGAUAUAUCGGGGACUCAACUUCCCCCGCACCCCAAAGCGCUUCACGCCCCUCAUAGGCGAAACUUUCAGGAAAACGCGGUCACCCACCGCGAAUUCCAAAUCUCGACGGCGCUUGUCAGAAUAGCUCUUUUGCCUCGACUGUGCCGUGAGCAGCCUCUCGCGAGCAAGACGGACCUUCUCUUCUGCCUCUCGCAAUACGUCUGGGCCCAAUGCCGCAGGUUCACCUACAUCAUUCCAACAUAUAGGGGAUCGGCACUUCCGUCCAUAUAGGACCUCGAACGGUGCCAUCCCAAUGCUAGCUUGAUAACUGUUGUUAUAGGCGAACUCGGCCAUCCUCAAAUGGUUUGCCCAACUACCCUUGUAGUCAAUGACACACGCCCGCAACAUAUCCUCCAGAAUCUGUAUAGUCCUCUCUGACUGUCCAUCUGUCUGAGGAUGAAACGCAGUGCUGAAAUCGAGCCGUGUGCCAAGUGCCUCUUGCAGGCUUUUCCAAAAGUGCGAAGUAAAACGGGGGUCUCGAUCCGACACGAUCGACUUCGGAACCCCGUGCAACCUCACAACUUCAUCCAAGUAUACCUGCGCCAACUUGUCGCCCGACCAGGUGGUGUGAAUCGGUAGGAAGUGUGCCGACUUGGUCAUACGAUCCACAAUGACCCAGAUCGCGUCGUGGCCACCCGUGGAACGGGGCAAUCCGACCACGAAAUCCAUCGCGAUAUUCUCCCAUUUCCAGACGGGAAUAGGUAAACUUUGGAGCUUUCCCGCUGGAAAUCGACGUUCAGCCUUCACUUGCUGGCAUACUAGGCACUGCGCUACAUAGCGCCCAAUGUCUGCUUUCAUGCCCGGCCACCAGUACUGCAUCUUCAGAUCACGGUACAUCUUGGUGCCACCCGGGUGAAUACUAUAAGGAGUCCGAUGUGCUUCUUGCAAUAUUAACUUUCGGACCUCCUCGUUUUCCGGUACACACCAUCGGUUUCGAAACCGAAGCGCACCCUCAACAUCUACACUGAAAUCACCGCCGUGUCCACUCUCGAUGUCUCGCCGCACCUUUUGGAGAUUGGGGUCCGCAGAUUGCAAACUAUUUAUCUGCUCCAACAAGGUCGGUUGGACAACGAGAGCCGUAAGCAUAGACGGGAUUUCCGGAGCUACCACCUCGAGAUCCAAUCGUUCCAUCUCUCUCCACAAAGGUUCUUGACGUGUGACCAACAUAGCCAGAUUCUCCACUGACUUCCUGCUAAGCGCGUCGGCCACCACGUUCGCUUUUCCAGGGUGGUAUAGGAUUGUUACAUCGAAAUCCUUUAGCAAUUCCAACCACCGCCGCUGUCGCAUAUUGAGCUCCUUUUGCGUGAAAAGGUAUUUUAGACUCUUGUGGUCCGUGUAUAUCUCGCAACGCGCGCCGUACAAGUAGUGCCUCCAUAGCUUGAGGGCAAACACCACUGCGGCCAACUCCAAAUCGUGGACAGGGUAGUUCUUCUCAUAGCUUUUCAACUGACGGGACGCAUAAGCGAUCACCUUCCCGCCUUGCAUCAGCACACACCCCAAACCCGAUUGUGACGCGUCGCUAUACACCACAAAGUCUUCGUCUUGCACCGGUAAGGCGAGCACCGGAGUCGAAGUUAAUCUAUCCUUCAACUCUUGAAAACUUCGGUCGCACUCGUCACUCCAAAUGAACUUGGUGCCUUUCCGAGUCAGACGGGUAAGUGGACCCACGAUCUUCGAGAAUCCCUCCACGAACCGUCUAUAAUAACCCGCUAAUCCCACGAAGCUUCGAACUUCCGUGACGUUAGUCGGGCGAGGCCAGUCCUUGAUCGCCUCCACUUUCCUCGGGUCAACAGAUACUCCUCCCUCGGAAAUGACAUGCCCAAGAAAUGCAACCUCUCGGAGCCAAAAGUCGCAUUUCUUAAACUUAGCAUACAACUUCUCCUCCCGAAGGAUUUGAAGCACUAUCCUCAAAUGCUCGGCAUGUUCCUCGUCGCUACGCGAAUAGACUAAGAUGUCGUCUAUGAAAACCACGACAAAUCGGUCCAAGUACUCCUUGAAGACACGGUUCAUCAAGUCCAUGAACGCUGCCGGGGCGUUAGUAAGCCCAAACGGCAUGACCGUGAAUUCAUAAUGUCCAUACCGCGUGCGAAACGCGGUCUUUUGCACAUCCUCCGGCUUGAUCUUGAGCUGAUGAUAACCGGACUGUAGGUCAAUCUUUGAAUAAACCCGAGAUCCUUGCAACUGAUCAAACAAAUCGUCAAUCCUCGGCAACGGGUACUUGUUCUUGAUCGUGACCUUGUUCAACUCGCGAUAAUCUACGCAGAGUCGAAACGAUCCGUCCUUCUUUCGCACGAAUAGGACCGGGGCUCCCCACGGUGAUACACUUGGCCGUAUAAAUCCCUUAUCGAGGAGAUCUAUCAACUGAGCCCGCAACUCCUUCAAUUCCCCCGGCGCCAUCCGAUACGGAGCCUUCGCGAUAGGCGCGGUUCCUGGAACCAAAUCAAUCACGAACUCAAUCCUCCGAUCUGGCGGCAUUCCCGGUAACACCGCGGGAAAUACAUCUAGAAAUUCCCGAACCACAGACAGCUCCUCAAGCGUAGGAGUCGUCCUCUCGACUUCUACAACGGUCGCCAAAUAGGCCGUACAACCGCUGUUAACCAACUUCCUUGCCCUCGUCGCCGACACUAUAGCAGCAAAGCGCGAGCUUCUACAGGCCCGAUAGGUGAAUUCCUCCUGACCCGGCUCUAUAGGUGAAUUCCUCCUGACCCGGCUCUCGAAACGUUAUCACUUUACUUCUGCAGUGAAUGGUUGCAUAGUACUUCGAGAGCCAAUCCAUUCCCAGAAUGACGUCGAAGUCUUUCAACUUCUUGAACAC
rnacentral:lncRNA from 1 species